rnacentral:rRNA from 1 species
GUGCCAGAAGUUUCGGUUAUGCAAAUAGGACAAGUAGUUUACGUUAAAGGUUUAAAGGAUUAGUAGACGGUAAGAAAUUACUAGAAUAAAAUAUAGUAUUUAAUGAAAAACAGAAGUAAAAGUUAAAUUUUAUAAUUUUUGUUAGACAACCAUUAUAUGAAAGUAUUAAAUAGAUAUUUUAUUGACGUUGAGAUAAUGAAACCUAAGGUAUCAAGUUGGACUUGUUAACCAAUUAGUCUUAGGUGUAAACGAUGUAUAUUAAAAAAGAAAUAAUCUUAAAAUUUCUUUUUGAAGAUAAUUUAUAAUAUACCACCUGAAAAGUAUAAUACAGAAUUGAAAUUUAAAACAAUAGGCCGUUUAGUUUAUUAACAGUGGAUCAUGUUAUUUAAU